GCCCGCAUAGCUCAGUCGGUAGAGCGUCAGACUUUUAAUCUGAGGGUCGCGGGUUCGAGUCCCUCUGCGGGCG
rnacentral:tRNA from 1 species